rnacentral:ncRNA from 1 species
AACGGGGUGCCUUUUCUUCCCUCCCGGGAAGAGGGGCUGAGAGGCGUGGAACGCCAACCCGAAGAACCUGAUCCGGUUAGCACCGGCGGAGGGAUUAGACG